UGGGGAAUAUUGGACAAUGGGCGAAAGCCUGAUCCAGCCAUGCCGCGUGUGUGAAGAAGGUCUUCGGAUUGUAAAGCACUUUAAGUUGGGAGGAAGGGCAGUAAGCGAAUACCUUGCUGUUUUGACGUUACCGACAGAAUAAGCACCGGCUAACUCUGUGCCAGCAGCCGCGGUAAUACAGAGGGUGCAAGCGUUAAUCGGAAUUACUGGGCGUAAAGCGCGCGUAGGUGGCUCGUUAAGUUGAAUGUGAAAGCCCCGGGCUCAACCUGGGAACUGCAUCCAAAACUGGCGGGCUAGAGUAGGGCAGAGGGUGGUGGAAUUUCCUGUGUAGCGGUGAAAUGCGUAGAUAUAGGGAGGAACACCAGUGGCGAAGGCGACCACCUGGGCUCAUACUGACACUGAGGUGCGAAAGCGUGGGGAGCAAACAGG
rnacentral:rRNA from 1 species